rnacentral:rRNA from 1 species
GGAUUAGAUACCCUGGUAGUCCACGCUGUAAACGAUGUCAACUAGGUCGUGCGGGUUCUGACGCCGGCACGGCCGAAGCAAAAGUGUUAAGUUGACCGCCUGGGGAGUACGGUCGCAAGGCUAAAACUCAAAGGAAUUGACGGGGGCUCACACAAGCGGUGGAGCAUGUGGAUUAAUUCGAAGCAACGCGCAGAACCUUACCUGGGUUUGACAUGUUUGGAUGCCCUUUGGGAAACCAGAGUAAGCUGCCCUUCGGGGUGAAACUUACACAGGUGCUGCAUGGCUGUCGUCAGCUCGUGCCG